rnacentral:rRNA from 1 species
UACGUAGGGGGCAAGCGUUGUCCGGAUUUACUGGGCGUAAAGAGCGCGCAGGCGGUCGUGCAAGUCGCGUGUGAAAGCCCCCGGCUCAACUGGGGAGGGUCACGCGAUACUGCUUGACUGGAAGGCAGGAGAGGGAAGUGGAAUUCCCGGUGUAGUGGUGAAAUGCGUAGAUAUCGGGAGGAACACCAGUGGCGAAGGCGACUUCCUGGCCUGUUCUUGACGCUGAGGCGCGAAAGCUAGGGUAGCAAACGGG